GAUGAACGCUGGCGGCGUGCCCAAUACAUGCAAGUCGAGCGAACGGACGAGAAGCUUGCUUCUCUGAUGUUAGCGGCGGACGGGUGAGUAACACGUGGAUAACCUACCUAUAAGACUGGGAUAACUUCGGGAAACCGGAGCUAAUACCGGAUAAUAUUUUGAACCGCAUGGUUCAAAAGUGAAAGACGGUCUUGCUGUCACUUAUGGAUGGAUCCGCGCUGCAUUAGCUAGUUGGUAAGGUAACGGCUUACCAAGGCAACGAUGCAUAGCCGACCUGAGAGGGUGAUCGGCCACACUGGAACUGAGACACGGUCCAGACUCCUACGGGAGGCAGCAGUAGGGAAUCUUCCGCAAUGGGCGAAAGCCUGACGGAGCAACGCCGCGUGAGUGAUGAAGGUCUUCGGAUCGUAAAACUCUGUUAUUAGGGAAGAACAUAUGUGUAAGUAACUGUGCACAUCUUGACGGUACCUAAUCAGAAAGCCACGGCUAACUACGUGCCAGCAGCCGCGGUAAUACGUAGGUGGCAAGCGUUAUCCGGAAUUAUUGGGCGUAAAGCGCGCGUAGGCGGUUUUUUAAGUCUGAUGUGAAAGCCCACGGCUCAACCGUGGAGGGUCAUUGGAAACUGGAAAACUUGAGUGCAGAAGAGGAAAGUGGAAUUCCAUGUGUAGCGGUGAAAUGCGCAGAGAUAUGGAGGAACACCAGUGGCGAAGGCGACUUUCUGGUCUGUAACUGACGCUGAUGUGCGAAAGCGUGGGGAUCAAACAGGAUUAGAUACCCUGGUAGUCCACGCCGUAAACGAUGAGUGCUAAGUGUUAGGGGGUUUCCGCCCCUUAGUGCUGCAGCUAACGCAUUAAGCACUCCGCCUGGGGAGUACGACCGCAAGGUUGAAACUCAAAGGAAUUGACGGGGACCCGCACAAGCGGUGGAGCAUGUGGUUUAAUUCGAAGCAACGCGAAGAACCUUACCAAAUCUUGACAUCCUUUGACAACUCUAGAGAUAGAGCUUUCCCCUUCGGGGGACAAAGUGACAGGUGGUGCAUGGUUGUCGUCAGCUCGUGUCGUGAGAUGUUGGGUUAAGUCCCGCAACGAGCGCAACCCUUAAGCUUAGUUGCCAUCAUUAAGUUGGGCACUCUAAGUUGACUGCCGGUGACAAACCGGAGGAAGGUGGGGAUGACGUCAAAUCAUCAUGCCCCUUAUGAUUUGGGCUACACACGUGCUACAAUGGACAAUACAAAGGGCAGCGAAACCGUGAGGUCAAGCAAAUCCCAUAAAGUUGUUCUCAGUUCGGAUUGUAGUCUGCAACUCGACUACAUGAAGCUGGAAUCGCUAGUAAUCGUAGAUCAGCAUGCUACGGUGAAUACGUUCCCGGGUCU
rnacentral:rRNA from 1 species